rnacentral:misc_RNA from 1 species
CAGAGUUGCAAAACUCCCAAACCAUUGUGAACCUACCAAACGUUGCUUCGGCGGGAGGCGAGCCCGGGCCUGGCCCGCGGACCGCCCCCGGCCCCUCGGGGCGCCCGCCGGAGGUACCUAACUCUUGAAUAAUUAGGCCUCUCUGAGUCUUCUGUACUGAAUAAGUCA